rnacentral:rRNA from 1 species
CCUACGGGAGGCUGCAGUGGGGAAUAUUGGACAAUGGGGGCAACCCUGAUCCAGCCAUGCCGCGUGUGUGAAGAAGGCCCUCGGGUUGUAAAGCACUUUCAGUGAGGAAGAACGCCUGGUGGUUAAUACCCAUCAGGAAAGACAUCACUCACAGAAGAAGCACCGGCUAACUCCGUGCCAGCAGCAGCGGUAAUACGGAGGGUGCGAGCGUUAAUCGGAAUUACUGGGCGUAAAGCGCGCGUAGGUGGCUUGAUAAGCCGGUUGUGAAAGCCCCGGGCUCAACCUGGGAACGGCAUCCGGAACUGUCAAGCUAGAGUGCAGGAGAGGAAGGUAGAAUUCCCGGUGUAGCGGUGAAAUGCGUAGAGAUCGGGAGGAAUACCAGUGGCGAAGGCGGCCUUCUGGACUGACACUGACACUGAGGUGCGAAAGCGUGGGUAGCAAACAGGAUUAGAUACCCUAGUAGUC